GUAGUUGUAUAGUACUAUCGGGCACGGGACCCUCCAUAAUAGAGGUAGCCGUCGGUGGUGAUAAAGAGAGCAAAGGUGCCACCGCCGGGGUCACCGACGAGGCUGUCACAGCCGCAGCCACUGGCGGCGACAACUGCGCGGUUGUCGAACCAGCAGCCAGUGAGGAGAUAAAGUCAAUCCCACUACGAUGGUGAAACUCCGCCAAUAUUGGCUUGACACUCCUGGGACAUUCUAGGCCUAUGGGAAUGAGAAUGGCCACGCUCUCCUUGCCCUCGGUUUCCCGUAAUCUAGACUCUCCCUCUGCUAUGGCGUCCAAGAUGAUGGAUGGAUCUGCAUAUCGUAUUGGUCGAUUUCCUACUGGAGAUGGCGGAGGUGACGUGUUCCAGGUAGGUCCUUCCGUGGGGACGUCCUCCAAGUUACUGGCCAUGAUUGUAUAUAACUUGUCAAACCUAUUGAAAAGUAAAAUAAUAAAUAAGCAAAAAUAUAUAUAUGUUUAGUCUGUAGUGUUAAUACACCCGUAAGUAUUAUUAAGGUUUUAUUAACGUUUCUUUUUUAAUUCAUUGUCAUUAAUUCGGAAGUGUAGUUCUUUAAUGACGAUCUCCAUUGGGAGAUUAUCUUGUAUCGUAUAUUGCUUAAUAUCAACUUCACCUAUUCGAACGCCACUAU
rnacentral:lncRNA from 1 species